rnacentral:ncRNA from 1 species
CCAACAGCUCUUCUAAGAGCUACCAAAUUUCAAAAAGAAUAAAACG